CGCAAGAGGAAUUCGGAGACAGGUGCUGCAUGGCUGUCGUCAGCUCGUGUCGUGAGAUGUUGGGUUAAGUCCCGCAACGAGCGCAACCCUUGUCUUUAGUUGCCAUCAUUAAGUUGGGCACUCUAAAGAGACUGCCGGUGUCAAACCGGAGGAAGGUGGGGAUGACGUCAAGUCCUCAUGGCCUUUAUGACCAGGGCUACACACGUACUACAAUGGCAGGUACAAAGGGCAGCCACUUAGCGAUAAGGCGCGAAUCCCGUAAAACCUGUCUCAGUCCGGAUUGGAGUCUGCAACUCGACUCCAUGAAGUUGGAAUCGCUAGUAAUCGCAGAUCAGCACGCUGCGGUGAAUACGUUCCCGGGCCUU
rnacentral:rRNA from 1 species